rnacentral:rRNA from 1 species
CUUGCUCCUUGGGUGACGAGCGGCGGACGGGUGAGUAAUGCCUGGGGAUCUGCCCGAUAGAGGGGGAUAACUACGGGAAACUGUAGCUAAUACCGCAUAACGUCUACGGACCAAAGUGGGGGCUCUUCGGACCUCAUGCUAUCGGAUGAACCCAGGUGGGAUUAGCUAGUUGGUGAGGUAAUGGCUCACCAAGGCGACGAUCUCUAACUGGUUUGAGAGAAUGACCAGUCACACUGGAACUGAGACACGGUCCAGACUCCUACGGGAGGCAGCAGUGGGGAAUAUUGCACAAUGGGCGCAAGCCUGAUGCAGCCAUGCCGCGUGUGUGAAGAAGGCCUUCGGGUUGUAAAGCACUUUCAGCGGGGAGGAAGGGCUACUAGCUAAUACCUAGUGGCAUUGACGUUACUCGCAGAAGAAGCACCGGCUAACUCCGUGCCAGCAGCCGCGGUAAUACGGAGGGUGCAAGCGUUAAUCGGAAUUACUGGGCGUAAAGCGCACGCAGGCGGUUUGUUAAGUCAGAUGUGAAAUCCCCGAGCUCAACUUGGGAACUGCAUUUGAAACUGGCAAGCUAGAGUCUUGUAGAGGGGGGUAGAAUUCCAGGUGUAGCGGUGAAAUGCGUAGAGAUCUGGAGGAAUACCGGUGGCGAA